rnacentral:lncRNA from 1 species
UUGUUUCAUUUGAGCAAUCCUUUUUACAGCUGUGUAUGCCUGCUUAAUUAUCACUCCAUAAGACAAAAUGGCACUCUGUAUUUCUAGCCAUCAAUUCAAACCUACAGAUGUAGCAAAGCUCCAAUAAUACACUAUACAUACACAAUGUUAGGAAUCCCCGCCUCCUCUUUCCCUCGACCUCCCCCAAUCCCCGCCUCCUCCCCUGACCCCCUCAUUCCUUCUGGCCGUCACCGCCUCCUUCUCUCUCUCCUCCGCGAGCAACAAGGCCAAGGCUGAGGAGAGGCCGACGAUGGGGAACAAAAGGAGUGGGGGCAGCUCUCGUUCCCGCCGCAGCGAGCGCGCGCACCUGUCCCCGGCCCUGUGGAGGCGGCCAUACCGGACCAUCGCGUCCUAGAGUCGCGCGUCGAACCAGACCACCGCCGUCGUGCCCCAGCAUCUCAAGCUCCACCAGCGGCUCACGCGCUCGCCCUUGCCACUCUACCGGUGGAGAGCUCCUCCAUGGCAGCAACAACCGGAUCCCGGCUGACCCAGAUCCAAGCGCUUCUAUUUAGUACUCAAAACCUUAUGUUCAUUUAUGUACCUAAGGAGUAGAAAAGCACACCAUACAUACACAAUGUUAGGAAUCAGGACCAGUAGACUUAUGCAGAAAUUGGGAGCUCAGAACAAACUAUAGCAAGAAUAUGGUUUGAAUAGUAGAGCAAGAUAGCUAUAGAGUUUAUUGCACCUGUUGAUCUUCUCAUAGUCCAACUAAGAACUACACUAACUAAUUCUAUGCUACCCCUUUCCCUAAAUAUUGUUAAUACCUACAUCCAGCUCAUAUAACCAAUAUGAAAUUGCUGUGCAGACGACAGUACACACACGACAUGCAGCCAACACUUAUAUCAAAUGGUGGAGCAAUGCUGCUACAUGCAUCAGAUUGUGCGAUUUUCAGCAUCAUUCAAAAAUCGGCUGUGCACUAUCGUGUGUAUAGCAAGGUUCUAACUCAUAUAAUGAUGGAAACCACACUUACUGAAUUAUUUUCAGCAGACACGGUUAUGACUUUGUUCAUGCUAACCCAUGACAAUGUGCUCUGAAAUCAUACAGAACUAACAACUCACCAUCACAAAACAAAUAUUUACUCUUCUUUUAAUAGCAUAACCAGACAAAAACAAAGGAGGACACAAACUUACAUUCACAGCCAACCGAACAUUAGUAUCUGGCUAACGCCUAAUACUAAUAAUAUGAUGGGAUAUUACAUGAUUGGAAAUUAUGACCAACAAGUAUUCACAAAUAAUAUUGAUAUUGUAUUUCACUAUUUCUCAAAAGAAUUAGAAAGAUAAAAUUAAGCAAGCCUGAUUAUAAGUGAGUGUGUGCCAAUGCUUCGUGAGGUUCUGCCUGAGCAUCAACAUGAGAAAUGAGUGUGAGCAAGUACCACUGCUGGCACUGCUGGCCUUAGAGUCGUGCUGCCCACCUCAUGGGAUGUGCACUAACAUCUACUUUCUAUCUCAAACCGCCUCCUAGGAGGAUUGUAAUUACAAACUCUCUCUCUUUUCAAUGGAAUGAAACGCAUGGGUCCCCUGCGUUUUCUCGAAAAAAAAAGAAAUGAGUGUGAGCAAGUACCAAUAACUUCUGCUUCUUACAAUUUCUGAGGAUCGUACUUCAGGUAGCCAUCCUAUUUGAUUUUGAACAUUUGCCAAGAAAAGAAAAUCAUCAUGGUUAGAGCCAAGCUAGUCUCGCUCGCAUACUUGCACAUAUGGGAUGCGAAGCAAAGAUCCCAGCACAAUAAAUUCGAUGCACAGUUCUACCAGUAACUUGGCACAUAUGGGAUGCGAAGCAAAGAUCCUAGUACAAUAGAUUGUAACUAAUGGGUCUCAUUGUCAGGAAACUCAUGAUUCCCAAUAACUAACCACAACAUUAAUUUCUGUAGUAACAUAACACAGGUUGUACCUUCAAAUGUUGAUUUUAGUCGCUUUCUUUCAGAUUUUCGCGCAUUGACCAGCUUAUCCCCCUGAAAAUAAAGUAGAAUAUCAGAUUAGCAGCUAUAUAUAUUGCAAGCAUUCAUUUUUUUACUGUAAAAGAGAUAAUAAAGUGUUUACUUCAAGAAAAUACAGCAGGCGAAGCAAAAAUGUACACCUAAAAGGUGAACAAAAAAUGAAAUAUCAAUCCUAAUUAGGGUGUGCAGGACCAAAUAAUUAAUAUGCCACUCUGGGAAGAAAACUUCAAAAUUUAC